rnacentral:rRNA from 1 species
UACGGAGGGUGCGAGCGUUGUCCGGAAUCACUGGGCGUAAAGGGCGCGUAGGCGGCCUGAUAAGUAGGGGGUGAAAUCCUGCGGCUUAACCGCAGGGCUGCCUUCUAAACUGUCGGGCUCGAGCACAGUAGAGGCAGGUGGAAUUCCCGGUGUAGCGGUGGAAUGCGUAGAGAUCGGGAAGAACAUCAGUGGCGAAGGCGGCCUGCUGGGCUGUUGCUGACGCUGAGGAACGAAAGCCAGGGUAGCGAACGGG